rnacentral:tRNA from 1 species
GCACCCGUAGCUCAACUGGAUAGAGUACCUGACUACGGAUCAGGAAGUUACAGGUUCGAAUCCUGUCGGGUGUACCA